GAAAUGCGAUAAUUAAUGUGAAUUGCAGAAUUCAGUGAAUCAUCGAGUCUUUGAGCGCACAUUGCGCCCCCUGGUAUUCCGGGGGGCAUGCCUAUCCGAGCGUCAUUGCUGCCCUCAAGCACGGCUUGUGUGUUGGGCUUCCGUCCCUGGCAACGGGGACGGGCCCAAAAGGCAGUGGCGGCACCAUGUCUGGUCCUCGAGCGUAUGGGGCUUUGUCACCCGCUCCCGUAGGUCCAGCUGGCAGCUAGCCUCGCAACCAAUCUUUUUAACCAGGUUGACCUCGGAUCAGGUAGGGAUACCCGCUGAACUUAAGC
rnacentral:misc_RNA from 1 species